UCCUUUUACCCGUAUCCUCCACGAUACCUCAUACAUUCCUUAAACAUUUUUGUUUUCCUGAUUAUUCUAUUUUGUCGACAGUCAAGAUGAUGAGACAAAUGACCUUCAUUCUUCAGACCAGCUAUCUUUAGCCACGUUUCGUUGUUGAUUAUGAUGUCCACUCCCUUCACUCUAGAGUAGAUAUAUCCGUUCACUUCUUUGACGUUGUUGUAGAAUACUUCAACAAGUUCGAGAUAAC
rnacentral:lncRNA from 1 species